rnacentral:rRNA from 1 species
GAAAGGGAAACAGCCCAGACCACCAGCUAAGGUCCCAAAAUAUAUGUUAAGUGGAAAAGGAUGUGGCGUUGCCCAGACAACUAGGAUGUUGGCUUAGAAGCAGCCAUCAUUUAAAGAGUGCGUAAUAGCUCACUAGUCGAGUGACACUGCGCCGAAAAUGUACCGGGGCUAAACAUAUUACCGAAGCUGUGGAUUGUCCUUUGGACAAUGGUAGGAGAGCGUUCUAAGGGCGUUGAAGCAUGAUCGCAAGGACAUGUGGAGCGCUUAGAAGUGAGAAUGCCGGUGUGAGUAGCGAAAGACGGGUGAGAAUCCCGUCCACCGAUUGACUAAGGUUUCCAGAGGAAGGCUCGUCCGCUCUGGGUUAGUCGGGUCCUAAGCUGAGGCCGACAGGCGUAGGCGAUGGAUAACAGGUUGAUAUUCCUGUACCACCAUUAUUCGUUUUAAGCGAUGGGGGGACGCAGUAGGAUAGGCGAAGCGUGCUGUUGGAGUGCACGUCCAAGCAGUGAGAUUGAGUGUUAGGCAAAUCCGGCACUCUUAAGAUUGAGCUGUGAUGGGGAGAGGAACUUGUUCCUCGAGUCGUUGAUUUCACACUGCCGAGAAAAGCCUCUAGCUAGAAUAACGGUGCCCGUACCGCAAACCGACACAGGUAGUCAAGAUGAGAAUUCUAAGGUGAGCGAGCGAACUCUCGUUAAGGAACUCGGCAAAAUGACCCCGUAACUUCGGGAGAAGGGGUGCUCUUUGAGGUUCACGCUUCGAAGAGCCGCAGUGAAUAGGCCCAAGCGACUGUUUAUCAAAAACACAGGUCUCUGCUAAACCGUAAGGUGACGUAUAGGGGCUGACGCCUGCCCGGUGCUGGAAGGUUAAGAGGAGUGGUUAGCGCAAGCGAAGCUACGAAUCGAAGCCCCAGUAAACGGCGGCCGUAACUAUAACGGUCCUAAGGUAGCGAAAUUCCUUGUCGGGUAAGUUCCGACCCGCACGAAAGGCGUAACGAUUUGGGCACUGUCUCAACGAGAGACUCGGUGAAAUCAUAGUACCGGUGAAGAUGCCGGUUACCCGCGACAGGACGGAAAGACCCCGUGGAGCUUUACUGUAGCCUGAUAUUGAAAUUCGGUACAGUUUGUACAGGAUAGGUAGGAGCCUUAGAAGCGUGAGCGCUAGCUUACGUGGAGGCAUUGGUGGGAUACUACCCUAAUUGUAUUGGAUUUCUAACCCGCAGCACUUAUCGUGCUGGGAGACAGUGUCAGGCGGGCAGUUUGACUGGGGCGGUCGCCUCCUAAAGAGUAACGGAGGCGCUCAAAGGUUCCCUCAGAAUGGUUGGAAAUCAUUCAUAGAGUGUAAAGGCAUAAGGGAGCUUGACUGCGAGACCUACAAGUCGAGCAGGGUCGAAAGACGGACUUAGUGAUCCGGUGGUUCCGCAUGGAAGGGCCAUCGCUCAACGGAUAAAAGCUACCCCGGGGAUAACAGGCUUAUCUCCCCCAAGAGUUCACAUCGACGGGGAGGUUUGGCACCUCGAUGUCGGCUCAUCGCAUCCUGGGGCUGUAGUCGGUCCCAAGGGUUGGGCUGUUCGCCCAUUAAAGCGGUACGCGAGCUGGGUUCAGAACGUCGUGAGACAGUUCGGUCCCUAUCCGUCGUGGGCGUAGGAAAUUUGAGAGGAGCUGUCCUUAGUACGAGAGGACCGGGAUGGACAUACCUCUGGUGUACCAGUUGUCGUGCCAACGGCAUAGCUGGGUAGCUAUGUAUGGACGGGAUAAGUGCUGAAAGCAUCUAAGCAUGAAGCCCCCCU